AGCUCAGCACAGAAAUGACAUCAUUCUUCUUCAUGGUUACUCUAAACUUUGAUCUGGAUUUAUUCUAUAAGUUUAAUUUCAGAACACAUGAACUGAACAUGAAAGUUUCAUGUCUUGAUGUCUGAUCUGUAAACUGAUGGAAAACAUUUUGUUCCUAGAAAAGUGUUGAUUGUGUCUUUGUGUGAUUCAUUUUUUAGGUGAAUCUUCUCUGUUUGAAUCAUACAAAGAUCCUGAAGAGAUUCAAAAUGAUCCAGAAGAUGAAAACAAAGGUGAAUCCAGGAAGAUGACAUAUUCUUCAAUCAAGCUUAAAGCCAUCACUAAGAAAAAAAAGAGACAGAAACCAGCAGAGAUGAUAGUUUACUCUGAUGUGAAGACAGGAGCGUCUGCAGAUGGCAGUCGGCUGUAUGCACAGAUGAUGAAGAGAAACAAAGGAAAAUCCUCUCAUUCCGCUGAUGAGAUGCUUUACUCUGAAGUCCAAUAAGGACCAGCACUUG